rnacentral:rRNA from 1 species
UACGUAGGUGGCAAGCGUUAUCCGGAUUUAUUGGGCGUAAAGGGAACGCAGGCGGUCUUUUAAGUCUGAUGUGAAAGCCUUCGGCUUAACCGGAGUAGUGCAUUGGAAACUGGUUGACUUGAGUGCAGAAGAGGGAAGUGGAAUUCCAUGUGUAGCGGUGAAAUGCGUAGAGAUAUGGAGGAACACCAGUGGCGAAGGCGGCUCUCUGGUCUGUAACUGACGCUGAGGUUCGAAAGCGUGGGUAGCAAACAGG